UUAAGAGAGACCUGAAGGAUUGGAGUAUCGACAAAGAGCUAGCUAUGGACAGGGGUGCGUGGAAGCUUGCUAUCCAUGUGCCAGAGCCAUGAGUUGGUUGCGAGAUCUUAUGGGUUUCACCUCUAGCCUACCCCAACUUGUUUGGGACUAAAGGCUUUGUUGUUGUUGUUGUUGUAAAGUCGAGAUGGACAUGUGAGCUUGUGUUUGAUCUAGCUCCGGAUAUACUGCUUUGCAUAUAUGGACUCAGGUGGAGCUAUGUGGACCAAAGGGACUUUAGAUAUUUCCUUGGUACAGUAGUAUGUUGCGCCAACGGUCUCUCGUCUCUCUGUUAUCCGAUUUAAGCUUUAACAAGCUAUAUGUAAGGUCAUGUCUUACUGUGUGCCUUAUGAAGGCUAGUUUUCCAUUAUCACGUGCUCACCAUAGAGGCGCAAAAAUUAAUAAGCAAUUGAACGGGAAAAUGGGUGGAAAGCCUUGUGUGCUUACAAAGUGUUUGUACCGUGUUAGUUGUCUCUUAUAUUUCCGAUGACCUACAUUGAUCUGAUAAUUUACUGUCGGUUAGAGGUUGAGGCAGGUCUAACAUCAGCUAUUUUUGAUGGCAACAGAACAGAGUAUGGAUGACGCAUCUCUGGCCUGAGCACGACAUGAUCCAGGCGUUAUCUAGGUUGUUGGAAUAUACUGCCCUGACGGUGAGGGUCGGUCAAAUGCGGUCUCGAUUGGUUGCCCACGGACACACUUGUCGGUCGGUUGCUACUGAUUUUAUCUUUCUUAUUAUUUUCAUUUCUGAUUGCCGUAAACCAUGAAAGGAGUACCCGUCCAUUCAUCUUAAUGGUUCUACAGUGAGUUUUCAGUAAUGAAAAUCGGAAGGGGGAAGCCCUUCUUUGAUCAAAAAUAAUAAUUCAUAAUGGAGGUUCGGGAUUUGCA